UCCGAGCUCCCUGAGGCUCGACGUGAAGCCCCGAGCCCGUUUGUCCUGUGUGAGGACAAGGGGACAAGGAGAACACUCCAGAGAGGGUGGCGCAGACCCUACUUUCUUUCACAAGACUGAUGCUGUGCUGAAAUCACUAUGGGGCACUGUGAAUGUUGGUGGGUCACAUGGACUGAUCAGCUGAAGAGCCCCACUACAGGAUGGACUCAGGCUUCUUAGCAGCAAGGCAAGCCUCUGUGGACUGACCUCAACAGCCUCCUGGAAGCAUUUUUUAUUGUUCCUUAAAAGACACCUUUAGCAAGC